rnacentral:rRNA from 1 species
GACGAACGCUGUCGGCGUGCUUAACACAUGCAAGUCGAACGGAAAGGCCCUGCUUUUGUGGGGUGCUCGAGUGGCGAACGGGUGAGUAACACGUGAGUAACCUGCCCUUGACUUUGGGAUAACUUCAGGAAACUGGGGCUAAUACCGGAUAGGAGCUCCUGCUGCAUGGUGGGGGUUGGAGAGUUUCGGCGGUUGGGGAUGGACUCGCGGCUUAUCAGCUUGUUGGUGGGGUAGUGGCUUACCAAGGCUUUGACGGGUAGCCGGCCUGAGAGGGUGACCGGCCACAUUGGGACUGAGAUACGGCCCAGACUCCUACGGGAGGCAGCAGUGGGGAAUAUUGCACAAUGGGCGGAAGCCUGAUGCAGCAACGCCGCGUGCGGGAUGACGGCCUUCGGGUUGUAAACCGCUUUCGCCUGUGACGAAGCGUGAGUGACGGUAAUGGGUAAAGAAGCACCGGCUAACUACGUGCCAGCAGCCGCGGUGAUACGUAGGGUGCGAGCGUUGUCCGGAUUUAUUGGGCGUAAAGGGCUCGUAGGUGGUUGAUCGCGUCGGAAGUGUAAUCUUGGGGCUUAACCCUGAGCGUGCUUUCGAUACGGGUUGACUUGAGGAAGGUAGGGGAGAAUGGAAUUCCUGGUGGAGCGGUGGAAUGCGCAGAUAUCAGGAGGAACACCAGUGGCGAAGGCGGUUCUCUGGGCCUUUCCUGACGCUGAGGAGCGAAAGCGUGGGGAGCGAACAGGCUUAGAUACCCUGGUAGUCCACGCUGUAAACGGUGGGUACUAGGUGUGGGGUCCAUUCCACGGGUUCCGUGCCGUAGCUAACGCUUUAAGUACCCCGCCUGGGGAGUACGGCCGCAAGGCUAAAACUCAAAGGAAUUGACGGGGCCCCGCACAAGCGGCGGAGCAUGCGGAUUAAUUCGAUGCAACGCGUAGAACCUUACCUGGGUUUGACAUGGAUCGGGAGUGCUCAGAGAUGGGUGUGCCUCUUUUGGGGUCGGUUCACAGGUGGUGCAUGGCUGUCGUCAGCUCGUGUCGUGAGAUGUUGGGUUAAGUCCCGCAACGAGCGCAACCCUUGUUCACUGUUGCCAGCACGUUAUGGUGGGGACUCAGUGGAGACCGCCGGGGUCAACUCGGAGGAAGGUGGGGAUGACGUCAAGUCAUCAUGCCCCUUAUGUCCAGGGCUUCACGCAUGCUACAAUGGCUGGUACAGAGAGUGGCGAGCCUGUGAGGGUGAGCGAAUCUCGGAAAGCCGGUCUCAGUUCGGAUUGGGGUCUGCAACUCGACCUCAUGAAGUCGGAGUCGCUAGUAAUCGCAGAUCAGCAACGCUGCGGUGAAUACGUUCCUGGG